UACGGGGGGAGCAAGCGUUGUUCGGAUUUACUGGGCGUAAAGGGCGCGUAGGCGGCCACUGCAAGUCAGUUGUGAAAUCUCCGGGCUUAACCCGGAAAGGUCAACUGAUACUGCAGGGCUAGAGUGCAGAAGGGGCAACUGGAAUUCUCGGUGUAACGGUGAAAUGCGUAGAUAUCGAGAGGAACACCUGCGGCGAAGGCGGGUUGCUGGGCUGACACUGACGCUGAGGCGCGAAAGCCAGGGGAGCGAACGGG
rnacentral:rRNA from 1 species